rnacentral:rRNA from 1 species
GGUAACACUGAAUGGAGGACCGAACCGACUUACGUUGAAAAGUGAGCGGAUGAACUGAGGGUAGCGGAGAAAUUCCAAUCGAACCUGGAGAUAGCUGGUUCUCUCCGAAAUAGCUUUAGGGCUAGCCUCAAGUGAUGAUUAUUGGAGGUAGAGCACUGUUUGGACGAGGGGCCCCUCUCGGGUUACCGAAUUCAGACAAACUCCGAAUGCCAAUUAAUUUAACUUGGGAGUCAGAACAUGGGUGAUAAGGUCCGUGUUCGAAAGGGAAACAGCCCAGACCACCAGCUAAGGUCCCAAAAUAUAUGUUAAGUGGAAAAGGAUGUGGCGUUGCCCAGACAACUAGGAUGUUGGCUUAGAAGCAGCCAUCAUUUAAAGAGUGCGUAAUAGCUCACUAGUCGAGUGACACUGCGCCGAAAAUGUACCGGGGCUAAACAUAUUACCGAAGCUGUGGAUUGUCCUUUGGACAAUGGUAGGAGAGCGUUCUAAGGGCGUUGAAGCAUGAUCGUAAGGACAUGUGGAGCGCUUAGAAGUGAGAAUGCCGGUGUGAGUAGCGAAAGACGGGUGAGAAUCCCGUCCACCGAUUGACUAAGGUUUCCAGAGGAAGGCUCGUCCGCUCUGGGUUAGUCGGGUCCUAAGCUGAGGCCGACAGGCGUAGGCGAUGGAUAACAGGUUGAUAUUCCUGUACCACCUAUAAUCGUUUUAAUCGAUGGGGGGACGCAGUAGGAUAGGCGAAGCGUGCGAUUGGAUUGCACGUCUAAGCAGUAAGGCUGAGUAUUAGGCAAAUCCGGUACUCGUUAAGGCUGAGCUGUGAUGGGGAGAAGACAUUGUGUCUUCGAGUCGUUGAUUUCACACUGCCGAGAAAAGCCUCUAGAUAGAAAAUAGGUGCCCGUACCGCAAACCGACACAGGUAGUCAAGAUGAGAAUUCUAAGGUGAGCGAGCGAACUCUCGUUAAGGAACUCGGCAAAAUGACCCCGUAACUUCGGGAGAAGGGGUGCUCUUUAGGGUUAACGCCCAGAAGAGCCGCAGUGAAUAGGCCCAAGCGACUGUUUAUCAAAAACACAGGUCUCUGCUAAACCGUAAGGUGAUGUAUAGGGGCUGACGCCUGCCCGGUGCUGGAAGGUUAAGAGGAGUGGUUAGCUUCUGCGAAGCUACGAAUCGAAGCCCCAGUAAACGGCGGCCGUAACUAUAACGGUCCUAAGGUAGCGAAAUUCCUUGUCGGGUAAGUUCCGACCCGCACGAAAGGCGUAACGAUUUGGGCACUGUCUCAACGAGAGACUCGGUGAAAUCAUAGUACCUGUGAAGAUGCAGGUUACCCGCGACAGGACGGAAAGACCCCGUGGAGCUUUACUGUAGCCUGAUAUUGAAAUUCGGCACAGCUUGUACAGGAUAGGUAGGAGCCUUUGAAACGUGAGCGCUAGCUUACGUGGAGGCGCUGGUGGGAUACUACCCUAGCUGUGUUGGCUUUCUAACCCGCACCACUUAUCGUGGUGGGAGACAGUGUCAGGCGGGCAGUUUGACUGGGGCGGUCGCCUC